rnacentral:rRNA from 1 species
AACGAACGCUGGCGGCGCGUCUUAAACAUGCAAGUCGAACGGCAGGAAGGGGCUUGCCCCUUCUGAGAGUGGCGGACUGGUGAGUAACACGUGGGUGACAUACCUUUUAGUUGGGGAUAGCUAUUAGAAAUAGUAGGUAAUACCGAAUGUGACCGUACCUGUUAGAGGGGUACGAGGAAAGGAGCUAAGGCUUCGCUAAAAGAAUGGCUCGCGGCCCAUUAUGCUCGUUGGUGAGAUAACGGCCCACCAAGGCGAUGAUGGGUAUCCGGCCUGAGAGGGUGAACGGACACAUUGGGACUGAGAUACGGCCCAGACUUCUACGGGAGGCAGCAGUUAAGAAUAUUCCGCAAUGGACGAAAGUCUGACGGAGCGACGCCGCGUGGAUGAAGAAUGCCGAAAGGUUGUAAAAUCCUUUUAAGCCUGAUGAAUAAGCACAGUAGGGAAUGAUUGUGCGGUGACCGUAGGGCUUGAAUAAGCACCGGCUAAUUACGUG